AGGCGAAAUAAGUGACAUGGGCCGUAUCGCGUCAACCGCGCGCGCGCUGCAGUUCCGCGGCCCAACAGCCAGCGACCGACACCGAACUCGUGGCCUCCCCCACCCCCGGCCCCGACGGCGGCGGAAGAACUAGCUAGCGCCGCCCGCCACGGCCAAGCCGGCGAGCCCCUCGGCGUCCUGCGCCGCCAGGGUGAUGGUGGUUGGAAAAGAUCGAUCAAUCUUGCUUGCUGCGACUGUAAUGACCCAAGGAGCUGUGUUAAAGAGAACUUGUGAUCUUGGGCCACUGUUUCCCCCAGCAUAAACAACAGUAAUCCCAUUCUGGACAGCAUGGAGUGCACCAAAAGAAUCAUCAUCGGCGACUAUUGAGAGAGACAGGAUGUCAACUCCAUCAUGUAUUGCAUCGUCCAUUGCUGCUAGCACUGCGGCAGUAGCAAGGUAUACCCCAUUUUCCUCCUCCCACCCAACCUUAUACACUGCAAGGCGUGCUCCGGGUGCACCACCACGUGCCACCCCCUCCCCCAGGCCAUGGAGGCUGACUCCCUCUACCACUGAUCCAGCUGCUGUGGAUGCCGUGUGUGUUCCAUGCCCAUUCAUGUCUCGAGCAGACAUGUAAUUCAGCUUGAGUUUGGCUUUGUCAAGACCUGCAGCAUAAUACCUUGCACCAAUGAUUUUCCUGCUGCAAUUGGUGCCCCCCCAUGCUUCUCCUAGCUGACACACACCCUUCCAUUGUGGCGGUAUUACUCCAUAUCCAUGAUCGCUGAAACUUCUUGAUUCAGGCCAGAUUCCUGCAUCAAUUGCCUUACUUAACUACAUCCAUGACACCAUUCAUUAAGCUACUUAAAUAAUUUAUUGCCAAAAGUUUUACAACUGAGAGCCGUCUUUCUAAAUUGAGGGACAGACCUGUGUCAAUUAUCCCAAUAAUUAUGUCUUCUCCAUAAUUGCUCCUCUGCAGAAGUUCACUAGGUUGUUGGUAAUUCAGCCCUAUGAAAUCCCAGCUUCGGGUGGUCAUAAGUUCAUGCUUCUGAUUUGGAGUAACACUGAUUACUUCAGGUAACUCUGAACAUAAAAAAUAUGUAAAUUCAAUCUUCUAUUGAAGAAAACAGAGAGAAGAACUUUACAAGUUUCUCUCUGGAAAAGUAUUCACAGUUAGAGAUAUCAAAUAAAACACAUCAGAACACACUCAUCUUUCCUCAUGUGGGGUCAGUGCAUUACUUAAUGGAAGUAAGUGAAUUACUCAAAGAUCGAAGACAUUCUUUUAACCACUAAAACGCAAUAUAUGUGUGUAAGUGUACUCUGCUCAGUCAGAAAAUAGGAUCACAUAUGUUCACUUUGGCCAUCUCAACUGGCAGUAGCAGACUUAACAGUGAAUUAGCUGCGAGCUGAAUUUCUUAGCCAAUGCCAGCAUACCUGCAAGUUUUUCAGCCUGAUCUUCAGUUAACAUUGCUGCAAAUCCUGAGAAGCCAUGCUUGUAGCUGUAAGCAACGGAGUCUAUUGCCUCUUCCUUGCUGAAAUUCAGCUAGCAAGCAAUGAUGAGAACCAAAUACACAGAUAUUUCGAGGUCAAGCAAUACACAAUAUAUACAAACUGUAGGUUUUUUGAUGGUAUGGACUGGAACUCAAAAAGCAAGACAAAUUAUAUGGUUACCUUCCAAGAAUGGUGCUGAGCAUUUCAUGAUGUGAAGCAGUGACAAGAGUAUGGUCAUCAUGUUUCUUGUCACCCAGGUAGGCGAUGUAUAACUAUGCAUAUAGAGGUACACAAACAUGUUUUAAUAGAUAAUAGGGCUAACUUGUGCAUAAACCUCCAGUCUCAAAACUAUUUUGAAAUUAAAACUCUAGAUAUACCACCCUUUAAAAUUGAAGAGCGAACUCAGAGUAUGAUAGAAGAAAUUAAAGGGAUGAAUUUGCUUUGAACUGUGAGCAAUGGUCUUUUUCUUUCCUCCUUUAGUUCAGUAUUCAGUACUUUAGACCAGUUGGUCUGCCGUGCGCUUGGCACCCCGCCGGCCCAGGUUCGAUCCCCUGCCAGGGCGAAUUUGUUGGUCGGGGGUGGCGCAGUUUAUCUGCGCGUUGAAAAAAAAACCCUCGCCUGUCCCACUUCAAAGCACAGGUCUAAGGCUGGUCCCGUCUCACAAGGGUUGCAGUGCUGCCGUGUAUGGGUGGGGUGAGGGUUUGGGGGUUUUCUCAACUUGUGUGAGGAUGUCUUCGUCCUACAACACAAUGUCGUGAGGGUGGUCUUGCCCCCGCAGGUCGAGUUUUUUUAGUUCAAUACUUUAGUUUAUAAUUGCUAUUUUUUUUCUUACUCUCAAUAUAAAUUGUAUUUAAACCUGAAUACAUGUAAAUAGAGCACCUUUAUCGUAAAAAAUAUUUUCGUAUAUUUUUAAAACUACCCCCUCCGUUUCAAAUUGUAGGUCAUUUUGAAUUUUCUUGAUACAUAGUUUUUACGAUGUAUUUAGACAUGAUGCUUAUCUAGAUACAUAGCAAAAGCUAUGAAUCUAGAAAAACCAAAACAACCUAUAAUUUGGAACGGAGAGAGUAUAAUUUGAUACACAAAAUAGAAGUUUAUGCACCAUGGUUCUUGUGUACUAAAUAUCUUCGAAUCGAAUAGAACUAUGAAAAGAAACAUAGUUUAACACUUUAUUCAUACCUUGCGAGAUCCAUCUGCUCUGAUCAUCAUGAAACUAAAGCAAAUCAGGAGGCAAGCUGAUAGACGCUGGGAGGGCAAGUGAAGAGCCAUGUUGCCAGUACACACUAAUUCGAUCCAGUGGGUUAUGCUAUUUGUAGGCUAUGGGGUCUUCAGUCCUUGUAGGUGGCUAUGUACCCAGGGAAAAAGGUUGGAAAUUUUGCAAUCUUUUGAAAGAAACACUAGAGAUAGGCUCUGUUUGACCAGUCAACCUUUGAAAAUUCAUCUCUCAUUGUCACUGUGUCAUAUCUCUUGUUAUCACUUACGAAAUGGCAUAUGUUUUGCUUUGUAAGCUUCUUGACAGUUCUGUUUUCUCCAUGGAGCUUAUGAUAAAAUUACUUAAUUUGAUGGGAUUGUCAUUUCUCCCUGAUCCAGCUUAGUAGCUACAACCUCUAGCUUAUUAUGCACGUUUGCUAUAUUAAUAUUCAUUAAUUGGGAUACACAUAGCUUCUAUAACUUUUCAGCUUUGCAACACGCGUGUUAAACUAAGAAAUUAAAAAUGUGUACAGAAUUACAGAAUCCAAGCAAGGCUUGCACUACAAAACGCAGGGCAAUGUGCCAAAGACCCUCCUGAUAUUUAGUAAAUGUAGUUUCUCUGAAUUUAUACAAUCUUGUGUUUCUCGAUCAUUGCAGAAUGUUGACAACCCACGGCCAUGAUUUUGUCCCCAUUUUCCAUGCCACUGCAUAUCAUUCCAUGGUCUCACUAACGUACUAACGGAUGACUAUGAGUUGAUGCUGAUUCUUCUGAUGUGAUCUCAUAUAUCUCAUCACUCGUCAGAGUCUUCAGUCUACCUUUGUUUUCUUUGAGAAGAAGUAGAAGAAGAAAUAUCAGCCUCGUGCUGUAAUCUUCUGUUCCCUUCGAGUUGAAGUAAGAAAAGCGCGCAGUCUGCUGCAGUACUUUUUGAUAAGAUUAAAAAAAGCAUCUUGUGUC